CCUGGUUGAUCCUGCCAGUAGUCAUAUGCUUGUCUCAAAGAUUAAGCCAUGCAUGUCUCAGUUCAGGCCCUAGUACGGUGAAACCGCGAAUGGCUCAUUAAAUCAGCUAUGGUUUAUUGGAUCGUACCCGUUAAGUGGAUAACUGUAAUAACUCUAGAGCUAAUACAUGCCUCGAUGCCCUGACUCUGUCGGCCUGCUGCUGCUUGCCUGUGUGUAGGUGGCGGCAGGCAGGCAGGGCGUGGGUGCACUUAUUAGAUCAGAAGCCAACCAACUGCUCGAGCGUUGCGUGUGCAGUCCGCUGCUGUAGGCGUGCGUGCGGGCGUUGAGAGGGAACCGCAUCUGGUGACUCUGGAUAAUUGUUACAGAUCGCAGUCGGCCUUGAGUCGGCGACGGGUCCUUCAAAUGUCUGCCCUAUCAACUGUCGAUGGUAGGUGACCUGCCUACCAUGGUGAUAACGGGUAACGGGGAAUCAGGGUUCGAUUCCGGAGAGGGAGCCUGAGAAACGGCUACCACUUCCAAGGGAGGCAGCAGGCGCGCAAAUUACCCACUCCCGGCACGGGGAGGUGGUGACGAAAAAUACCGAUGCGGGACUCCCUCAAGAGGCUCCGUAAUCGGAAUGAGUGGACUCUAAAUCCUUUCACGAGGAUCAAUUGGAGGGCAAGUCUGGUGCCAGCAGCCGCGGUAACUCCAGCUCCAAUAGCGUAUAUUAAAGUUGCUGCAGUUAAAAAGCUCGUAGUUGGAUCUCGGUAGCAUUGUUGCCUGCUGGUGACUGAGCGGCCGGUGUGUGGCCAACGGUGCGCGGUCGCGUCGGCACACGGUCUGCGUGUGGGCGUGUGGUGAGCGCGGUUCGGUUGGUAGGUUGGCAGGCGAGCUGGCUGGUCGUUGUCGCCGCAACUGCUGGCUGGCUGGCUGGCUGGCUGGCUGGCUGACUGGCUAGGCGGUGGGUUGGCGGGACGGCUGGGUGGUUUGCUUGCUGGCUGGGCUGGCUGGUGCGAUGCUGCACUACUACUGCUUGCGUGCAGUGAGCGUGUGUUGGCAGGGAUUGUGUUGCCGUGGCCAUGAAGAAGCACUGUCGUGUCAAGCUGGCAAGGCGAUGGUGUCACCUUUGAGCCAUGUCUGUGGUGUAACAGCUACAGGUGUGGACGGGUGUUGGGCAGCGCUCUGCACACGUUGUGGAGUCUGUCGGCUCGUCUGCAUGCCUUUGGAUGCCCUUAAAAAGGUGUCUGCGGGCGGAUGGCACGUUUACUUUGAACAAAUUUGAGUGCUCAAAUCAGGCCGAUGUUGCCUGAAAAGUUUUGCAUGGAAUAAUGGAAUAGGACUUCGGUUCUAUUUCGUUGGUUUUCGGAUCCGAAGUAAUGAUCAAAAGAGACAGGCGGGGACGUUUGUAUGGCUGCGCUAGAGGUGAAAUUCAUGGACCGUAGCCAGACAGACUAAAGCGAAAGCAUUCGUCAAGCAUGUUUUCAUUGGCCAUGAGCGAAAGUCAGAGGCUCGAAGACGAUCAGAUACCGUCCUAGUUCUGACCAUAAACGAUGCCAACUGACGAUCCGUGGUGGUAGUAGUGUUACCUUCCCCACGGGCAGUCCCCGGGAAACCUUUAAGUGUUUGGGUUCCGGGGGAAGUAUGGUUGCAAAGCUGAAACUUAAAGGAAUUGACGGAAGGGCACCACCAGGAGUGGAGCCUGCGGCUUAAUUUGACUCAACACGGGAAAACUCACCCGGGCCGGACACUGUGAGGAUUGACAGAUUGAGAGCUCUUUCUUGAUUUGGUGGUUGGUGGUGCAUGGCCGUUCUUAGUUGGUGGAGCGAUUUGUCUGGUUAAUUCCGAUAACGAACGAGACUCCAACCUGCUAAUUAGUGCGUUUGUCCACUGCGCCUGCGUAGGUGACGCUGGAUGACACCACCUGUCACGAGGACGUGGCAGCGGCUCUUCUCUCCCCUUCUCCGCUCGAAUGCCCUCCAGCGCCUCCUCCUCCUCCUCCUCCUCUCCUCCCCCUUCUUCAGCGCCUCAUCUGGCCGGCUGGCUGGCUGGCCGGGUGAGGCGGUGGUGGCGGUGGCGGUGGUGAGGGCGAUGGGGUGGGGAUGGUGCGGGUGGGCGAGUGGAUUGUGGUGGAGGCGUGGGGUUGGGUGCGGCGCUCGUGGCCGGUUAGUCUGGCGUUGGCCUCCGGGUGUGGCGCGAAUGCCUACUUCUUAGAGGGACAAGCGGGAGAAGCCGCACGAAAUAGAGCAAUAACAGGUCUGUGAUGCCCUUAGAUGUCCGGGGCCGCACGCGCGCUACAAUGACGGUGUCAGCGAGUCAGGCCUUCUGGCCCGAAAGGGUUGGGCAAACUGGUCAAUCACCGUCGUGACAGGGAUCGGGGCUUGGAAUUGUUCCCCGUGAACGAGGAAUUCCUAGUAAGUGCAAGUCAUAAGCUUGCGCUGAUUACGUCCCUGCCCUUUGUACACACCGCCCGUCGCUACUACCGAUUGAAUGGUUUAGUAAGGUCCUCGGAUUGGCGUCAUUGCGACGGUGGCCGAGAGGUCACAGCCCGAGGGGCGCUGAGAAGACGACCGAACUUGAUCAUUUAGAGGAAGUAAAAGUCGUAACAAGGUUUCCGUAGGUGAACCUGCGGAAG
rnacentral:rRNA from 1 species